GACGAACGCUGGCGGCGUGCCUAAUACAUGCAAGUUGAGCGCUGAAGGUUGGUACUUGUACCAACUGGAUGAGCAGCGAACGGGUGAGUAACGCGUGGGGAAUCUGCCUUUGAGCGGGGGACAACAUUUGGAAACGAAUGCUAAUACCGCAUAAAAACUUUAAACACAAGUUUUAAGUUUGAAAGAUGCAAUUGCAUCACUCAAAGAUGAUCCCGCGUUGUAUUAGCUAGUUGGUGAGGUAAAGGCUCACCAAGGCGAUGAUACAUAGCCGACCUGGGAGGGUGAUCGGCCACAUUGGGACUGAGACACGGCCCAAACUCCUACGGGAGGCAGCAGUAGGGAAUCUUCGGCAAUGGACGAAAGUCUGACCGAGCAACGCCGCGUGAGUGAAGAAGGGUUUCGGAUCGUAAAACUCUGUUGGUAGGGAAGAACGUUGGUGAGAGUGGAAAGCUCAUCAAGUGACGGUAACUACCCAGAAAGGGACGGCUAACUACGUG
rnacentral:rRNA from 1 species